AUAUCGAUACCUCCUAAGUAUACUGAGUCAUCUAACAAAUUUAGGUAUUUUGUUUUUUUUAUACAAAAGUACAUAAUAAACCAUGAUCUAAAUGUUAGUGUUAUUUUUUUUUUAAAAGGACCUAUAAUUACCGAGAUAAUUUCACGUAUACUAAAUCAAUUUCAACAUCAGUUAAAAUCGUACAUUGUAUACUGAUCCAAAUAACAUUGUAUCAGUAUUCGCGGGGCGUGAGGAGGGACGCAUUGAUACAAGUAUAUUAUGGCUCAGUAUACGAUAAAUGACGGCGAGGGCGCGAAUUUAUUUUAAUUUUCUCAAUAAUAAGGUGAAUAAUACUAAUGAUACAAUUAGCAAUAUCUCAGGAAUCGGUGAUAUAAUGCAAAACAGGGAUGAAUAUGAGUCUCCAUUGCCACCAGAUGCAAAUUUUAUGGAAGAGGAGCUAUCAAUACUUGAUGAUAUUGAUUAGAAUGAUAGCAAGGAAGUAUCGCAGAAUAUCCCUUCUAAUGCUUACAUAUUAUUCGUAGAUUAUAUUCUUUGCUCUUCGCCUUGGGUAUCGAAUGUUGAUAACUGAACUCAAAAAGGAGAUCGAUCGCCAUCAGUCAUAGAGAACACUCCAGGUAAUUCGCCCAUCCAGAAUAGCAUUAUAGAAAAUUAUUGUGAUAUUACUCCAGUACCAUCGCCGUAUAAUUCUUUUGACUCAUCUCCUGUUAAUUUCUGACAUUAAUGACAUCACAUACUCAUCGUCCAAUAACGCCAAAAGCGCAUUUCCAUUGCGAAAAAAGAUAAAGAAAGGCUAAAGGAUAAAAAAUGUAAGGAUAAGGAGAGGAAAUAUAAGCUUAAUAGAGGAUUGGAAUAUGUCAGUAGAAACGGAAGAGUACAUGCUACGAGAAUUAUGAAAACUUCUUGCCCCUCAACUUGUCGGAAAAAAUGCAGUGAGAAAUUAACAGAAUGUUUUGGAUUAUUGGACCACCGAAGACAAUGGGUUUUUUGGCAAGAUAUGUUGUAAAAGCUGGAAAAAAGAGAAAAAAUAUUGUCGAUAAAAAAAAAGCAGUGAAGGAGAUAAUAUUAUUAAGACCACAAAAAUAUUGGUUUGCAAAACUAUGUUCUUGAGAACCCUUUCUAUUAGUUUUGAUUUUGCUUAUACAGAUUUAGAAAAGUCCGAUAAAGGUAAUGGAUUUAUUAAAUCAGAUCAGCGUGGUCUUUGGAUGAACAUAUAAUCCAUCCGAUAACGUUCACAGUGUUAUAGAUCACGUUGAAGCAUUUUCUCCUGUAGAGUCACAUUACACUCGCCAAAAAUAAAGUAAAAAUUAUCUGGAAGGCUUUUUAUCCUUCCCAAAACUGUUCAUGAAUCGAAUGGUUUAUGGACUACCGUGAGACAAUAUCUAUAUAUAGGUUUUAUAAACCCAAAAAAGAUAUUUGUGAACAAUGUCACAUUUAUGAAAAUAACAAGCAAGUUCUGCAGGCAGAUAAAGAAAAGCAUGAUGAGCAUUUAAAAAAAAAGAGAAAGCUAGAAAGAUGAAAACAAAAGAUAAAAAAUCAGCGUUACAAAAUAAUGAAAUCCUUACAUCAGCAUCUGAUCUUCAAAAGUGUCUUAAUGUAUGUACCUCACGGAAGCGUGAGUACUUUUUAUUAUAAACGGAAACAUUAUUUGUAUAAUUUCACGAUAUUAAUUCUGGGAUCUCGCCAAGGUGAUUGCUUUUGAUGGUAUCAACAGACAGCAAAGAGAGGUGCAAUUGAAAUUUCCAGCUAUCAUUUUAAGUUUAUAGAAGAUACGGGUGGUGAAGGUGUCAAUGAUUACCUGUUUUAGUCAGACAACUGUGGAGGCCAAAAUAGAAAUAGGAUUUAUUUCUUAAUGUAUAUGUUAGGUAGUUUAAAGUGUAGUAUAGCUAUUAGCCAUCGCUUUCUAAUAGUGGGUCAUUCACAAAGUGAAGGCGACAGUAUGCACGCUUUAAUUGAAAGACAGACAAAGAUAAAAAGCUUUAUAUGCCUGAUCAAUGAUAUACAGCUUUUAGAUACAUACACAGUUAUUGAAGUGUCUCAGGAUUUAAUAAAGGACUUCAAAUCAAACUCAAAACUUAUAAACAACUGGACAACUACUAAUGAUGGAUCUAUCUAUCUAAAUAACUCUAAUGGAGCAGAAGAUAGUGAUUCAGACUGAUUUUUGAUUCGUUCAACCUUUAAUAUUUUUAUUUAUUUAAUUAUUUAUUUUUAUUAAUAUUUAAGUUAGAAUUUCCUAGAUUUUUAGAUAUUUAUAUUAUUCAUAUCUAUUAUUUUUAGUAAUAUUGUUUAAAGUAAGUUACCAUUUUUAGUUUCUAUUAUUUUUAUUGAUGUUUGUUACUUUUCAAGAAACUUUAAUGAUACUACAUGCUACAAAAAAGGGUCCUACUUAGUAUAAACGAAAAAUACAUCGUGAUUCUUUAAA